UACGUAGGGUGCGAGCGUUGUCCGGAAUUAUUGGGCGUAAAGAGCUUGUAGGCGGUUUGUCGCGGCUGCUGUGAAAAUCCGGGGCUCAACCCCGGACUUGCAGUGGGUACGGGCAGACUGGAGUGUGGUAGGGGAGACUGGAAUUCCUGGUGUAGCGGUGAAAUGCGCAGAUAUCAGGAGGAACACCGGUGGCGAAGGCGGGUCUCUGGGCAGUAACUGACGCUGAGGAGCGAAAGCGUGGGGAGCGAACAGG
rnacentral:rRNA from 1 species